rnacentral:rRNA from 1 species
ACGGCGUAGUAAUGUGUAGGAACGUGCCCUCUGGACGGGGAUAGCUACGGGAAACUGUAGGUAAUACCCGAUGAUCUCUGCGGAGCAAAGGUGUGAUUCCGCCGGAGGAGCGGCUUACAUGAUAUUAGCUAGUUGGUGGGGUAAUGGCCCACCAAGGCGAUGAUGUCUAGGGGGUGUGAGAGCAUGGCCCCCACGACCGGAACUGAGAUACUGUCCGGACACCUACGGGUGGCUGCAGUCGAGAAUCUUCCGCAAUGGACGAAAGUCUGACGGAGCGAUGCCGCGUGCGGGAUGAAGGCCCUUGGGUUGUAAACCGCUGUCAGAGGGGAUGAAAUCUCCGGAGGUUCUCCUCCGGAGUUGACAGAGCCUCAGAGGAAGCACGGGCUAAGUAUGUGCCAGCAGCCGCGGUAAUACAUACUGUGCGAACGUUAUUCGGAAUCACUGGGCUUAAAGGGUGCGUAGGCGGCGAUUCAAGUCAGAUGUGAAAUGCCUGAGCUCAACUGAGGCAUUGCGUUUGAAACUGGAUUGCUGGAGUGUCCCAGGGGUGUGCGGAACUGCCAGU